CCUACGGGAGGCAGCAGUCGAGAAUCAUUCACAAUGGGGGAAACCCUGAUGGUGCGACGCCGCGUGGGGGAAUGAAGGUCUUCGGAUUGUAAACCCCUGUUAUGUGGGAGCAAAUUAAAAAGAUAGUACCACAAGAGGAAGAGACGGCUAACUCUGUGCCAGCAGCCGCGGUAAUACAGAGGUCUCAAGCGUUGUUCGGAAUCACUGGGCGUAAAGCGUGCGUAGGCUGUUUCGUAAGUCGUGUGUGAAAGGUGCGGGCUCAACCCGCGGACGGCACAUGAUACUGCGAGACUAGAGUAAUGGAGGGGGAACCGGAAUGCUCGGUGUAGCAGUGAAAUGCGUAGAUAUCGAGAAGAACACUCGUGGCGAAGGCAGGUUCCUGGACAUUAACUGACGCUGAGGCACGAAGGCCAGGGGAGCGAAAGGGAUUAGAUACCCCAGUAGUC
rnacentral:rRNA from 1 species